CACGGGGGGAGCAAGCGUUGUUCGGAAUUACUGGGCGUAAAGGGCGCGUAGGCGGCAUGGCAAGUCGGGAGUGAAAGCCCGGGGCUCAACCCCGGAACUGCUUUCGAAACUGCCAAGCUAGAGUGCGGAAGAGGCAACUGGAAUUCCCAGUGUAGCGGUGAAAUGCGUAGAUAUUGGGAAGAACACCGGAGGCGAAGGCGGGUUGCUGGGCCGACACUGACGCUGAUGCGCGAAAGCCAGGGGAGCGAACGGG
rnacentral:rRNA from 1 species